rnacentral:rRNA from 1 species
AGAGUUUGAUCAUGGCUCAGAUUGAACGCUGGCGGCAGGCCUAACACAUGCAAGUCGAGCGGCAGCGGGAGGAAGCUUGCUUCCUCGCCGGCGAGCGGCGGACGGGUGAGUAAUGUCUGGGGAUCUGCCCGAUGGAGGGGGAUAACCACUGGAAACGGUGGCUAAUACCGCAUAACGUCGCAAGACCAAAGUGGGGGACCUUCGGGCCUCACACCAUCGGAUGAACCCAGAUGGGAUUAGCUAGUAGGUGGGGUAAUGGCUCACCUAGGCGACGAUCCCUAGCUGGUCUGAGAGGAUGACCAGCCACACUGGAACUGAGACACGGUCCAGACUCCUACGGGAGGCAGCAGUGGGGAAUAUUGCACAAUGGGCGCAAGCCUGAUGCAGCCAUGCCGCGUGUGUGAAGAAGGCCUUCGGGUUGUAAAAGCACUUUCAGCGAGGAGGAAGGUGGUGAACUUAAUACGUUCAUCAAUUGACGUUACUCGCAGAAGAAGCACCGGCUAACUCCGUGCCAGCAGCCGCGGUAAUACGGAGGGUGCAAGCGUUAAUCGGAAUUACUGGGCGUAAAGCGCACGCAGGCGGUUUGUUAAGUCAGAUGUGAAAUCCCCGAGCUUAACUUGGGAACUGCAUUUGAAACUGGCAAGCUAGAGUCUCGUAGAGGGGGGUAGAAUUCCAGGUGUAGCGGUGAAAUGCGUAGAGAUCUGGAGGAAUACCGGUGGCGAAGGCGGCCCCCUGGACGAAGACUGACGCUCAGGUGCGAAAGCGUGGGGAGCAAACAGGAUUAGAUACCCUGGUAGUCCACGCCGUAAACGAUGUCGAUUUGGAGGUUGUGCCCUUGAGGCGUGGCUUCCGGAGCUAACGCGUUAAAUCGACCGCCUGGGGAGUACGGCCGCAAGGUUAAAACUCAAAUGAAUUGACGGGGGCCGCACAAGCGGUGGAGCAUGUGGUUUAAUUCGAUGCAACGCGAAGAACCUUACCUACUCUUGACAUCCAGAGAACUUUCCAGAGAUGGAUUGGUGCCUUCGGGAACUCUGAGACAGGUGCUGCAUGGCUGUCGUCAGCUCGUGUUGUGAAAUGUUGGGUUAAGUCCCGCAACGAGCGCAACCCUUAUCCUUUGUUGCCAGCGGUUAGGCCGGGAACUCAAAGGAGACUGCCAGUGAUAAACUGGAGGAAGGUGGGGAUGACGUCAAGUCAUCAUGGCCCUUACGAGUAGGGCUACACACGUGCUACAAUGGCGUAUACAAAGAGAAGCGAACCUGCGAAGGCAAGCGGACCUCAUAAAGUACGUCGUAGUCCGGAUUGGAGUCUGCAACUCGACUCCAUGAAGUCGGAAUCGCUAGUAAUCGUAGAUCAGAAUGCUACGGUGAAUACGUUCCCGGGCCUUGUACACACCGCCCGUCACACCAUGGGAGUGGGUUGCAAAAGAAGUAGGUAGCUUAACCUUCGGGAGGGCGCUUACCACUUUGUGAUUCAUGACUGGGGUGAAGUCGUAACAAGGUAACCGUAGGGGAACCUGCGGUUGGAUCACCU